UACGAAGGGGGCUAGCGUUGUUCGGAAUUACUGGGCGUAAAGCGCACGUAGGCGGAUAUUUAAGUCGGGGGUGAAAUCCCGGGGCUCAACCCCGGAACUGCCUUUGAUACUGGGUAUCUCGAGUCCGAGAGAGGUGAGUGGAAUUCCGAGUGUAGAGGUGAAAUUCGUAGAUAUUCGGAGGAACACCAGUGGCGAAGGCGGCUCACUGGCUCGGUACUGACGCUCAGGCACGAAAGCGUGGGGAGCAAACAGG
rnacentral:rRNA from 1 species